rnacentral:tRNA from 1 species
UCCCUGGUGGUCCAGUGGCUAAGACACUGCACUCCCAAUGCAGGAGUGCUGGGUUCAAUCCCUGGUCAGAGAA